rnacentral:lncRNA from 1 species
UGUCAGCAGUGACAAAGGUCAAGAGCUAGGGUUAUUGCAAUUCAGAAGGCACGGGGUCAGAUCCCAGCCUUGCCACUUGGCUAGCUAAAUUACAUGCCUUGUUUAACUUAUCUGUAAAAGAAAGCAAAGGCUGUCUCUGGGUUAUUUGGAGAACCAGAAGAAAUGAUGCAGCUUGGUACAGCGAGGCAGGCUGGAGAGUGAGGGAAAUGUGGCUCCAGUUCAAAUCAACGAGAGGCUCCACCUGCAGGUAUACCGGGUCGUGCUGCCAGGCUGGAGGAAGAGAAGGCUAUGGUGGUAGUGGCAGAAGUGAAAUCUGCUGUACAACAGGAAGUGACCUCACCCAGGAAGGCUGCGGCAGAGGGUUCCACAAGUAUGUUCCAAAUGAACACCUGCUCCCCGGGUAUUACCUGAGCAGCCUGUGCUGAGACAAAGCAGAGUUUAUGGCUCAGUGCUGCAAGAAAAUAUGAGAAUCUUAGUUGCCUUUGAGAACAUGCCUGGGGCUGGGGUUGUUGCCAGUGAUAGAGUACUUGGAUAGCAUGCAUGAGGGCCCAGGUUCCUUCCCAGCAAUGCAAAAUAACUAAAAAUCUGAUUUAAAGUGGACCUUUCAGUGUGGGAUGGGAAAACAGGGCUUGAUUAAAAUUGGAUCAGGACCAUGACAUCAUACUUUACGAUUGGGUGCACACUUAUAAUCCCAGCACUCAGAAAGCUGAGGCAGGAGGAUCACUUCAAGUUUGAGGCCAGCCUGAACUACAUAGUGAGACCUUGUCUCAAAAAAAAAACCCAAGGUUUUUCAGUGGUGCCAUGCUUGCCUGGCAAGCACAAGAUCCUGAGUUCAAUUCAAUUCCCAGUGCCAAAAAAAAAAAAAACCUUUUAUGGGCUGGGGAUUUAGCUCAGUGGUUCUGCCACCUGCCUCAAGAGCAUAAGGUUCCGAGUUUGAUCCCCAAUACCAAAAAAAACACAACAAACCAAACUUUUGAAUUGGUGGGCACUGUAAGGCUAGAAUUUUCAGGCAUGUGGUAUAAAGCAUCUUAGACUAACUCGUCAUUGAAUGGAGACGGAGACAUUGGCGAAGGAAGGCACUUACCUUUAGAAGGAGCAGGAAGGAUAUUUGUAAUUUAUCUUCUAAGAGUUUCUUAGAGUAAUAAGUUCAUAAGAUGAAGAAAGCAAGCUGUGUACAGUUUCCAAUUUCUUAGGUUUCCUCUCUCCUUUUGGGCAGGGGCUCCUCUAUUUUACAAGCGAGCUUGGGUGGAGAAGUGAGGCCUUAAUGGAGUCCCAGGGGACCCUUCCUUGCUGGGGAUUAGCGGGUGGGGGGCUUCUGCAGAGGCUCUGAGAGCGGACAGGAAGGG